AGCAGCCACCGCUCACACCCGCUGAUGGCGCCAAGCGAUCAGGGCCGGCACCAGACACCAGCAGUGGGUGUAAGUGGGGCCGGCAUUGGCAGCAGGUGUGAAUGCCCGGCAGGACUGCAACGCAUGGGAGCAAAGAAUUUUCAGUAACCACCAGAGGCUCGUCCCAAUGACAGCAACUGGCGCCCCACCUUGGUCUGGCUCACCUGCUCCACCAUCCCACCACGGCCAAUGCCUGCCAUGUUCCACGUACACCCUCUUUUGGUCAGCACACUUCAUAGCAACUGGUUAUUUGGUUGUUCAGUUGUUCAGUUGUUCUGCCAUUCGGUCUAUUUGCAUAUUAGGGUUUUAUAUAGAUUGCAUUGGCAGACAGUUUACCUAUGGUAAAAAGCAAGUACCUCAGUGGCCUAGCUGGAUAACUUGUGACAGAUAUAUACACUGUAUAACCAGAAUCCUGAUCACAUUACAGCAGCUACCCUCAGCCCCAGAAAACCCUUUUUUAAGUCAAGCCAAGAGGAAGCCAUUCUUGACAUCUCUGACCUGUGGUGGGUCUAUUUCUGGACUCCAUUCUGUCCCCUCACCUGUUGUUCUCGUGGCUGCCUUGAUUCCUGCAGCUUCGCAGCCAGCGCUGCUGUCAGUCCCAGAGGCUCUUUGUCAGCUCCGUUGGGGCUCCUCGGGGCCCUUUGUGUCUCCGUCACACUUUUAGAAUCAGCUCCUCAAUUUCUACAAAAAAAGCCUGCUGGGAUUUUGAUGAGGGAGGCAUUGAUCAGGAGGUUAUUUUGGGGAGAAAGACGCUAAAAGGUGCUGAGUCUUCCCCCCAUGGUCGUGGCACGUAUCUCUGUUCAUUUACUGCUUUCCUUUCUCUUGGCAGCAUUCUUUGGCGUUUUCGGAGUAGAAGUCUUACAUCUUACAUCUUUUUGUUAAACUCAUUCCCACAUACCUUAUGUUUUUUGCUGCUCCUGUAAACGGUGUUUUUAAAUUUAACUUUCCUCUUGUGCCUUGCUAGCAUUUAUAAGCGAGAUUGGUUUUGCAUGUUGGUGUACCUUAGCCUUCUCUAUGUUCAGUUACUAAUUCCACUGCUUUUUGUGGGUUUUGAGGGAUUUUCUAUAUCGACGUCUACAGCUGUGUUGUUCAUGAACAGACACAGAGUUCCUCCUCUCCAUUCUGUGUGCUCCCUUUUCUUUUUCUUGUCUCAUUGCAUCGGCCAGGACUGUGACACAGGGUUGCAGAUGACACUCUUGCUGUGCCCACAUGACUGAGCUAAUGGGGGGGUGGAACAGAUGGUGCAGGGACCCCAGGAAACCACAAGAGGAAGGUAAUACAGGACUUUUCUUUUGGGGUCUGGCUGACGUCUCAAUGUUCAUUAAAGAGCAAACCCUAGAAGAAUAUCACAUAUUGUAUAAUUCAUGAGACGCAGGCCAGCUAUAUAAUAUGCAGGCCCAGUGAAAAAUGAAAAUGUUGGCACCUUGUUCAAAAUGCAGGACAAAAGCCCUUUCAUUUCUUUCGAAGUCUCUCUCCCGCCCGCCCUCCUUUCUUUCCUCCCUCUCGUCUACUCUUUCUCUGUCAUGAUCCCUGGGGCAUGGGAAUAUUUACAAGGCAAAUGCAGACCCUCAUAGGCACCAGGGAUCCCACUCUACCACGUAGUAUUCCGGUCCACGUGCUCAUCUCCACGGCUUCCCACCCUGUGUUCAGGCCUCUGAUAGAGCAGAGGUGGCAGUGGUCACUGAGUGCGGGUGGGCGGGUGAUGAGAGAUGUGGCCACUUUCGAGGCCAGGCUCCAAGCCCAGAACAUGCUCCAUCUUCAAAACACAAAUUCAGCAAUGAAAUUACUAAACUUUCAAGGCAGUAACCACAGAGCAUUAAAAUUGCAAGCAGGGUCCUCCUGAGCACAGACACCCCUGAGGAUGGGCCCCCCUGGGUGUGGACCUCCCUGAACAUGAACCCCGGAAAUGCCACCCUGAUCAAACACUGACUUCCCUGCAUACCUGGGCCAGUUUCCGGCUUGCUCUUCUCUCCCGGGUCUGUCUGUUCGUGCACCUGACCAGGCAUGUUGUGCCGAAGGGAGGGCUGGUCCCAACACAGAGCCUUAUUUUCAGUGUCUGAUGACUAUCUUUGAGGGAUCAUUCAGAAGCUAUUUCUUGUGACAAAGAUUUAUUUAUGUACCAUUUAGCAGUCCUCAAAUUCACUCCAUGCCUUUUUCUCCUGUUAUAGUCAAAGAAAAUCCUACCUGCCUCUCCCUCUGCCUUCCACCUCCUCCAUGAGCCGGUCAUUCUUCCUUCAGUGGCGGGUGUGGGCCUGCCUCACCGGACAGACACAGGAGUUUCUCUGGCUGUGCCAUUGGCAGUGAAUUUUUUGGUUCCUUAUCGCUUUCUCUUCGAUAACUUUUGGAAUUGGUGGACUCUACACGUGCACACGCCCCUCCUAUAGAGAACAACCAAGUCAUUAUUCUUAAAAAAAAGGAUUUAAAAGGAGGGAGCCACGCACCCAGAUGGUUCGGGUGGAGGAGGGGCAGAAGCCGGUGGCAAUCCACAAAUUGGGGCCCCGUGCAUUAAUAGCGCCUGGAAAUAUCUCUGGUUCGUAUCUCUGACAAGCAAAGGCUUUGUGGGAAAACCAUUUUUAUUUCAGGAUCUGCCGAGACCGCCCUCCCGUUGGCCCUGCGUUUCCUUUCAUUCUGCUGCGGCUCCAUUCUGUCCUUCCACGAAUAGAAGAAGCCAGAAGGUGCAGGAAGAGAGAUAAACGCCGACAAACGGAGCAGCCUCUGCCCCGUGUGUCAGCUCUCAGGCUUUGUCUUCCUUUUUCGCAGAGAGGUGCCUUUCUGUUCUGUUGGCCUCUCACGACUAAUGUGAGAUCCCGGUUAUUGAAGAGAUGGGAGUGGGGGACUUAAAUCUGGGCUGGGGGGCUUCCUUAACAGCCCCUCGGCGCGUGGGAGCCGGUCCUGCCCGGCCUUGCUGGGUGCGGUGUGGGCUUUUCAUGCCCGGUUAUGCUAAUCCUGCUCGAGCCACUCGGCAGAAAAUAGUCUAAAAAUACCCUCCCCAUCACGGUGGCUCUGGCUCAAUAAAACCAGCAGGGCCCUUAGGUUGACGGCAUCUGGUUAUGGAAGGGCGGGCGCCGACACCACUGUGGUGUGGUGGCUGCUGGGCCCGUAGUCCAGGAUGCCAGCGUGGCGGCCGCUACUCCUGCCUCUGCAGCUGCACCUGGAGUCAGGGUUCCCUCGCACCGCCCUCUGCUCCUGGAGUUCCCCCACAUGCUCAGCUCUGCAGCAGCGUCCUUUCCCAGAGGCCUGGGCGCUGCCCCACUGGCCAGUUUCAAUGCGGCGCCUCCCCCACCUCUCCCAGGGGCUCAGGACCCCCACAUUGUCGAGAAGGACUCCCUGGGGCAGGUCCGACAGGUGCCCUUUCCCGCUGACUGAGGGUCCGCUAGGCUCACGGCACUUCCUGAGCACUGUGCCCUCACCAUGACCCACUGGCAAGCUGUGAAUGAAGAAGGGACAGGCAUGGCUCCCCUUCCUGCACUGCCUUCCUGUCAGCCUCGCUGACAGUGACCCUGUAGAAUUCUCCUUCCUCCCUGCCCUCACGUUCAUCCAUUCCUAUCCUGGAACCCUAGUCAGGAGGCUCUGCUCACCCUCACCCCCUGGUUUCACCUGCUCGGGAGGGUAGGACGCUGCAUAGUGCGUAAGCAGCAGGCACACGACUUAAGAAAGUGGCUUCCAGCCACUCCCUGCGGUUGGGACCCUCCCUGGGGGCCACCCUGAGCUCUGAAGGUUCAGAGGCUAGCUUCUGGGUCAGCUGGCUCCUCACAGCUUCUGUCCAGACGGGGGAGGACCCUCCCCUCUGCACUCCCAAACUGGCAGGCGCUGAUGCUCAUCCUCCACUCAGGAGCUGUGAUGGUUAAUUUCACCCGUCAACUUGAUAUUUGGCUCAGAUAUUUGGUUCAGCAUCUCUCUGGGUCUGUGUUCGAGGGUGUUUCUGGUGAGAUUAACAUUUACACAGGUAGACAGAGUAAGCAGAUUGCCCUCCCCAGACGGUGGGCCUCAACUGAUCAGGUGAAGGUUUGAGGAUGGCAAAAAGACUGACCUCCCCCAAGUGAGAAAGGACUCUUCUGCCUGCUGGCCUUUGAAUGGAGACACUGGCUUUUUCCUGCCUUCAGCUGGAACGAAACCUUCAGCUCUCUUGAGUCUCCAGCCUGCUGACUCAGCCUGCAGGCCCUGACGUGUGUGAGCUUCCAUCAUCCCGUGAGCUAAGGCCUUAUGAUAAAUCUCUCCCUAUGUAUACAGCUGUUAGUUCUGUUUCUCUGGAGAGCCCCGAGAAUACAGGUGUGCCAGCCAGGAGUUCCAUGGAGAGGUGUAGGCAGCAAACCUGAGUUACCACUGCAGCGUGAUGAGGUCCCAUGGGAGUGGCUGUAGGAGAAGCAAAGGGGUGCACGGAUGAGGUCAGGGCAGAGAGAGGGGGCUGCGGGGGUGGCCAGCAGGGGUGCUGUGCUGGGAGCUGCGUCCUCUCCCUGGUCCCCACACAGAGACGCUUCCUGUCCUGUAAGGGCUUGUCCAUAGUUUCCAGUUCUUUCCUCUGCAAACAGCACAACCUGAGGACCUGACGCCACUUCCUCUGGACUUGCCAGCAGUGGCUGGCAGGCGGACAGGGCGUGCUCACUCGGAAUCCGACAGUGUGGGAACUCCUGCCCGCUCCGUGUGAGUUGAGCUCAUCGCUUUAAGAUGACAAAUUGAGCAAAAUUCUACAACCUAACAACUCCUAGAGUGGCCUGUGUCCACCUCGGUCGAUGGGCUGUGGCUGCAUUAAGGCUCCUGGACACCCGCCUGUUUGGUUAUGCUCAAGGCUCUGGCCUAUUACCAUCCAGGCUGGGGAGCCAAGUUGGCGCCCAAAGCAUGUUUCUUUGUUUAAUGGACAGUCUCUGGAGGGCUCCAGCUCUCUUCUAGGUUUCCCCCUCCUCGGGGCACCAUCUUUGCCAACCAUUUUCCUACCACGAGGCCGCUAGUCCCCAAGGACUCACCCACCUGCAGCUCAGAGUGUCCCCUCCUCCACCCACAAUCCAGGUCCAGGGUCUCGCCAUGGGAGGAACAGCUAUCAAAAUGCAAACUCCAGUUGUACCCAGUAGGUUCCAGUUGUGUCCAGGGUAGCCUAUUUGGAACUGAUGACUUGAAGACUUUCAAGAGGAGCUCAUAAAAUAUGAAUUUGUGAUUGAAUGGAGUGAAACAACCAUAUACCUUAAUUAAAUUAAGACCAGACUCUACGAUAACGUUUCCAUAGUGCUUACUAUGUGCCAGAUGCUAAUAGAAGUACAUACUUUACAUAUAUUUGCAUAUUUGAUCCUCAACACAACCCACGAGGUUGCCAUGAUUACGGUUCCCACUCUCGGAUAAGUAGAUUUAGGUACAGAGAUGCCACGCAGCCCUCCACUCAGGCACAAACAGCAAGUGGUCAAUUACCAUGAAAACCAGCCAACUUAGCUAUAAAAUGGUAAAAUUAAAGGAGUAACCAGGCACCAGCUUUAGGCACCAGAUUAGCAAAUACUAAAAAGAAUGUCAUGGGGGGAGGACACUUCGGGGACAUGGGCGCUUUUGUCGCUUGUCUCUGUGGGAUACUUGAAUGUCACCUACCAGAAACCUUAAAAACGAGUCCAAAUUCUUAGAAUUUGUCCUGAGGAUAUGAGAUAUGCCCCCAAAUAUAAGCACAGCCGUAUUUUCACAGCUUUCUGACAAAAGCUAAAAUCUGAACAACUUAAUUCUUCAUGGUCAACAAUGAAGAAUUAGUCAGUAAAUUGUAUUUCUUCAAACCACGUCAGUCUACGCAACUCUCCAUUUACUGACCUUGAAAACUGCUAGUGAUGUCAUUGUUAAACGAAAAAUCCAUAGGACAGAUGGUAUAUUACACACUCAUAUAGCACAACGUGCAGAGUUAUCUGUGCUCAGAUAGAGACAGGCAUAUGAGGCAUUUUCUGUGGGAUGGUGUUAUGAGUGUCUUCUUCUUUUUGUUUAUUAAUUCUACUGUUUGCCAUGAAGAUGUGUAGCUCAUGCAGCAAGCGUGGAAAAGGUGCCUCCCAUGGCGUGAGCAGACUCCGUGUUCCAUUUCUUAGGUCUCAGGUCUCUGGAAAACGUGGAACAGCCGACCCUCUGCAGUCUGGAUCCUGCCCUGGCUCCUGCUCGGAGCUCUGCCAGCGCGCCGAGCCUUCUGGAAGGAAAGGCCUUGCCAGCUCCCUUUGCUGGAAGAGUCUGCAGUUAAUUAGAGGCUCUCCUCUGAGCACACCUGUCUGGAGUCUGGUCGCUCGGCCGCAGGGAGCGCCUGCCGGGCGCUCGGGCAUCCUGGGGAUGGAAUGUGCUGGAUGUGCAGGAGCAGGUCAUAGCGGGAGCUCUAGCCCAGGACGGAGGGAAAACAGCGAGUGUGAGCUGAGCCUCAACGAUGGCUGCUGGGAGGACAAUGACCACAACGCAGUGCUGAGAACACAAGCCCAGUGUCUGAGGACGACGCUUCUAGAGAGUUCCAGUCACAGAGCAGAAGCUGGUACCAUGAGGUGAACAGAAAACCCAGAAAUGCUCAGCAAGAUCUCAGGACAAAGAGUUUGUACCAAAACUAUGUGAAAGCUACCUCGACCAAGAAGUCCCUGGGCUAAUGUUCACCAGAUGGGCUGCCACAUGGCCUUCUCUGCAGGACGCAUCGGACUCCCGCCCAGAUGGGCAGGACGCUUCCUGAAAAUGGACAGGGUGGGGGCAAGACGGUGUGUUAUUGCCCCUAGAGCCGCCGACACAUAGAAAUGAAGAGAAGAAACCGUUCCUCUGUCUAAACUGUUUUCAGGUUGAAGGACAUUGGAUGGGAAAUCCUGAUCAGAGGAAACUUCUGGCUACCAGUCUUCACCACCACCGCUUUGGACACAAAAUCAAAAAGACCAGCUGGAAUGGAAUGAUAUGCAUACCAGCAAUAUUUCUUACUCUCAUCACAUUUUGUGCAAAAUAAACACCUAAUAGUUU